UACGAAGGGUGCAAGCGUUCAUCGGAAUUACUGGGCGUAAAGGGUGCGCAGGCGGUUAUAUAAGACAGAUGUGAAAUCCCCGGGCUCAACCUGGGAACUGCGUUUGUGACUGUAUGACUAGAGUACGGUAGAGAGGGGUGGAAUUCCUGGUGUAGCAGUGAAAUGCGUAGAUAUCGUAAGGAAGACCAGUGGCGAAGGCGGGUCUCUGGACAGUUCCUGACGCUGAGGCACGAAGGUCAGGGGAGCAAACGGG
rnacentral:rRNA from 1 species